rnacentral:rRNA from 2 species
UUGGACCUGAUAUCAGGCAAGACUACCCGCUGAACUUAAGCAUAUCAAUAAGCGGAGGA